UCGAAUGCAAUGUGACAUCUGAAAAUAAAAGUAAAAAAACACAAAGAGUAUCAAACCAAAUAUGAGCUCUCAUUUAAAGUUCUUUUGUAGGUAACAUAGUAAAAUCAAGAGCAUACUUCACGAUCUAUUGGCAAAAAGGGCACCCUCAAUUGGCUUUGUCAAACUAAUGUUUUGGAUUCCUUAAAUUGAAGAAGUUGCAUCGGACAGAGAUAAUCGGAAUAACUAGAAUGUUGGCAAAUUUCACCGAGAAGCGAUUGCGAAAGAUGAAUGCCAAAAAACGACCCGAUCAAGUGAAUACUGUUUGAUUCAUUCCAUUGGUGCAACAAUAAAACAAAUUUGUUUCAACUCCGUUAGUCUUAAAGCGUUUUAUCUUGUUUUUCGAAUUUUAUCCAGGCAUAAAAGGAGCUGCAACAACGCUUUUAAUGAAUGAAUUGAAACUAUCUCUAAAUCUACACAGAAAACUUAAUUAUAAGACAAUUGAAUUGUAGCUAUUUCUGCUUAGCAGAAUGCGUUGUAUAUUUCCAUAUUGCUUGCUUGUUUUGUGAUGACCGACCAUCGUAUUGGCCGCAUGACGACAAUCAAUUGGUUUUGCUAUCAACCGUUCGGGGAUUGAUGAAAUCCCACACUACGGCUUUUAGUGUUGGCAACCGUAUUCCCGCAAUCUCUAUCGGCAAAAAAAAAAAAAAAAAAAAAAAA